rnacentral:rRNA from 1 species
AUGGAAGCUCCACCGGAGGCAUCAAAGCCGGCAGAUGCUAAACCGGUGAAGCCUCGACCAUCUGCACCCACUGCCAGGAUUGCGUCUUCGUCAGUCAAGAAGCGGACUGAUGGUCUUACCUCGGCACAGUUGAAUGUGUCCCGGUCUUCGUUGAUGAAGCCUACCUCUACCGUCACCGCUGGUUCGGUGCAGAGAAGAAGCAGCACCGGAACUGCCGGGAAGCAACAGGAGAAUGGGAGCUCAGUUGUUGCUAAGAAGGUUAGUCCUUCGCUGUCGGAUGCGGCCAAGAGGAGUAAACCGGUGUCAGUCCCCACUGUUAGUUCCAGACCUUCACUGGAGAAGAGGACAUCUUUGGUGUCUGAGAGGACCAAGGUAGAUUCGGUGAAGAAGCCUUCUGUUAAGGCAUCGCCAACUUCAACACUGAACAAGGUCCCAUCCCUGACAGAGAGCUCCAAUGGCAGCAGCACGACUGCCAGUUCCAGGAGAAUGGCAUCAAAUGCUUCUCUGCACUCACCGCGGUCCUCUUCAGUGACAAGCAGUGUCACAAAGAAAUUGGGUUCUCGGACGUCAUCGGCGGACAAGGGUUCUUCUGUGUUGAGCCGGAGGAAGAGUUCGACUGCUGAUAGUCGUGACUCACGGUUUAUGAUGCUGCCACAGGUGGAUCUGAAGGCUAGCGAUGAAGUGAGACUGGAUUCAAGAGGUCACAGGGUUCGUAGUCUGAAACAGUUGAGAUUAACACCUAAACUUGAGUUUGUGUAUCUACGGGACAAUCUGUUAUCAAGUUUGGAGGGCAUUGAGAUACUCAACGGCGUAAAGGUUCUUGAUUUGAGCUUUAAUGACUUUAAGCUCCCUGGGUUUGAGCCUCUUGAGAAUUGCAAAGUCCUCCAGCAACUUUAUCUUGCUGGAAAUCAAAUAACUUCACUUGCCAGCCUUCCCGAAUUUCCUAACUUGGAGUUCCUUUCUGUCGCCCAAAAUAAGUUGAAGUCACUCUGUAUGGCCAGUCAGCCUCGACUUCAAGUGUUAGCAGCCAGCAGGAAUAGAAUAUCAACUUUGAGGGGAUUUCCACAUUUACCUUCUCUGGAGAGUUUACGUGUGGAGGAGAAUCCACUUCUUGAGAUGCCACACUUGGAAGCUGCUUUGAUUUUGCUUGUAGGCCCUACUAUGAAAAAAUUCAACGACCGAGAUCUGAAUCCCACCGAGGCUGAGGUUGUGAAGCAAUAUCCUGCUCAUACAGCUAUUUGCAUUCGUGAUGGUUGGGAAUUUUGCUCCCCUGAACUUGCUGCUGAUUCAACAUUCUCCUUCCUGCUUGAGCAAUGGAAGAAUAAAUUGCCCCAGGACUACAUAGUGAAGACAGCUUAUGUUGACCAUCCAUUUGAAGAAGACCCCUGCCAUUGCCAUUUUAGCUUCACAAAUCUUAGUAGUGAAGGUAAACUAGUCCUCAAAUACCAAUGGUUUCUAGGUGGCAAGACACCGACAGGUUUUGUGCCUAUUCCUGAAGAAUUAAGCGAGGUGUACUGGCCGAAGAGUGAGGAUGUUGGAAAAUGUUUGAAAGUUGAAUGCACUCCAGUACUGAAUGAUGCUGAAUUCCCGCCUGUCUUUGCUGUAUCUUUACCUGUUUGUCCAGGGACUGGAUAUCCAAAGGUUAUCAAUCUAACAGUCAGUGGUGAACUAGUAGAAGGAAAUGUACUCAAGGGUGUUCCUCAGAUUGCUUGGUGUGGUGGGACACCAGGGAAAGGUGUUGCAAGUUGGUUGAGGCGAACAUGGAACGGCAAUGCUGUAAUAGAUGGAGCCGAAGGGAUGGAAUAUCAGCUAACUAUAGAUGAUAUUGAUUCAAGUUUGGUAUUUAUGUACACGCCUGUUACGGAAGAGGGCGUUAAGGGGGAGCCACAAUGCACAAUGACAGAUUUUGUAAAGGCUGGCACACCAUCAGUUAGCAAUGUACACGUUGUUGGAGAUAUUGUUGAAGACAACACAAUCAAAGGAAACGGAAAAUACUUUGGUGGCAAAGAGGGACUGAGCAAAUUCCAAUGGUUCAGAGAGAAGGAAAAUGGUGGAUAUCUUCUAGUGCUGUCGAAUAGCACACAAUACACACUAACCAAGGAGGAUGUGGGCUGGUGCCUCAAAUUUGUAUAUACUCCCAUCAAUCUUGAAGGCCAGGAGGGUGAAGCUGCUUUCGCCAUAACAGAGGCAGUACGGAAAGCUCCUCCGAAAGUCUUUGAUUUGAAGAUUAUUGGUGAAGCAAGAGAAGGAAGCAAGGUAUCUGUUACUGCUACCGUCACAGGUGGAACUGAAGUAUCCAGCAGGGUUCAGUGGUUCAAGGCAUCUUCAUCUGAAUUUGUGAAUGACCAUGAGCUUGAAGCCCUUUGUACAUCUAAAGUCUCCAAGACAUUCCACAUUCCUCUUGGGGCUGUUGGAUGUUAUAUUGUUGCAAAGUUUACUCCUGUGGGACCUGAUGGCGAAAUUGGUGCACCAGCCUAUGCUGUAUUAGAUGAUGUUGUGGAAACAUUGCCGCCCAGUCUGAACUUUUUGACAGUCACUGGUGAAUUCUCAGAGGAUCAAAUGUUGACUGCAUCAUAUGGGUAUAUUGGGGGCUAUGAAGGAAAUAGUCUAUACAGCUGGUAUCUUCAUGAGACUGAGGAUGAUGAAGGCAGCCAACUUUCAGAAGCGUCUGGUUUGCUACAAUAUCACAUUAAAAAGGAAGAUGUUGGGAAGUUUGUCUCUUUCAAAUGCAUACCAAUCAGGAACGAUGGUAUUGUUGGUGAGCCAGGAGUUUUCUUGGGAAAUGAUAGAGUUACACCAGGAAAUCCGACGCUACUUUCUCUUGAACUAAAUGGUGAGGCCAUUGAAGGGACAACUAUGGUUGCCAAUAGAAGAUACUGGGGAGGAGAAGAAGGGGACACGAUAUUCUGUUGGGUACUGACAAGUUCUGAUGGAACCUGGAAUGAAAUUGAAGGCGCAACAAGCUCAUCAUACAGCUUGAAAUGCGAUGAUAUUGGCUUCUACGUGUCUGUCUCGUGCGAGCCUGUUAGAAUUGAUGGAGUUCAUGGUUCUUUGGUGUCGACAGAAGCAAUCGGUCCUAUUAUUCCUGGGCCACCGGCAUGUCGAUCACUUGAGCUAGCUGGCUCUAUGCUUGAAGGUGGUCGGUUGACCUCUCAUGCUGAGUAUACUGGAGGUGUUAAGGGAAACUGCAUCCAGCAAUGGUUCAGGUCACAUGAUGAUGGUAGCAAGGAUGAGUUGAUUGCCGAUGAAUGUCUAGAUCUUGUUCUAGCUGAUGUUGAUUGCCGAAUUGAGGUUAUAUUUACACCUGUACGAGAAGAUGGAGUGCAAGGGUCACCCAAGAGUGUUUCUUCGGAUAUAAUCUUACCUGGGGAGCCCAAGGGUGUCAGUCUUGUUAUACCAGAGUGUUUUGAGGACAAUGAAAUUUCUCCUAUCAAAGCCUACUUCGGUGGCAAAGAAGGCACUGGAAAAUAUACUUGGUUCCGAACUACAGAGAAGCUUGAUAACUUGGAACCUGAGCUGGUGGCAUCAUGUUCAGAAGUCGUCGGAGAAACCUUAUUGUACAAACCUUCAUUGGUUGAUGUUGGCUUCUACUUGAUCCUUUGCUGGGUUCCUACACGAUGUGAUGGAAAGACUGGUGACCCAUUGAUGGCUAUCACUGAUAACCCUGUCAUGGCAGCUUUUCCAUCUGUUUUGGAUGUUAACUUGAAGAAGACAAGUUCAGACUUAUACAGUGGAGUAGGCAUUUAUUAUGGUGGAUAUGAGGGAUCAAGCUUGCAUAAGUGGUAUAGGGAAUCUAGUGAUGGGACCAGGAUUUGUAUAGAUGGCGCUGCUUCAAGUACAUAUGAAGUGGCAGAUGCAGAUUACAGCUGCCAUCUGUUGUUUGGGUAUACCCCUGUUCGUUCAGAUGGAGUCAUUGGCGAAGAAAAGUUCUCUGAACCAUCUGAUAUAAUCUUUCCAGAGCAACUCAAAAUCGAGACCCUUUCAUUCAAAGGAAAUCAAGUUGAGAGAGAAACACUUGCUGUAGUUGAACAAAUUCCAAGAAAUGAGACUCAAGAGCAUAUAUGGGGUAACUACAAGAAAGAAAUAAAAUACCAAUGGUUUGCCUCAAAUGGAUCAGGAGUGGACCUGUCUUUUGAACCUUUGGCUACCGAGUGCUCUCCUUCAUACAGAGUACGCUUUGAGGAUAUAGGCCGAUGCCUCAAAUGUGAAUGCAUUGCUAUUGAUGUAUUUGGACGAUCCAGUGAAUCGGUAUCAGCUGUGACCUCCCCUAUUUUGCCAGGACUACCUAAAAUUGAAAAACUGGAAAUUGAAGGAAGAGGUUUCCACACCAACUUAUAUGCUGUUCGGGGUAUCUAUAGUGGUGGUAAAGAAGGCAAGAGCAAAAUUCAAUGGCUUAGGUCAAUGGUUGGAAGCCCUGAUCUUAUCUCCAUACCUGGUGAAACUGGAAGGAUGUAUGAAGCAAACGUUGAUGAUGUAGGGUAUAGACUUGUUGCAAUUUACACACCUGUGAGAGAGGAUGGGGUUGAGGGACGACCUGUUUCUGCUUCAACAGAGCCGAUUGCUGUUGAACCCGAAAUUUACAAGGAAGUAAAACAGAAGCUUGACGACGGUUCUGUCAAGUUUGAGGUUUUGUGUGACAAGGACCGAACACCAAAAAAGGCACAAGUGAUGGGACAUUUGGAGCGGAGAAUUUUGGAAGUCAACAGAAAGAGAAUCAAGGUUGUAAAGCCUGGAUCCAAGACAUCAUUUGCAACUACUGAAGCCCGAGGGACAUACACCCCCCCAUUCCAUGUUGAGCUAUAUCGUAACGAUCAGCACCGUUUCAAGAUUGUCGUUGACGGUGAUAACGAAGUUGACUUGAUGGUUCAAACGCGGCAUAUGCGAGAUCUUGUCAUUCUGGUGAUCAGGGGCCUCGCCCAAAAGUUCAACAGCACCUCCCUCAACUCACUUCUCAGGAUAGAGGCAUGA